UUGAAGCUUGACCGAAAGUUGGAGUUUAAUUCCGGGGACGUAGGCCUAGCUGGAGGUGUCCAAGUCAAAGAACAUGCGGGCGCGAAUCCUAC
rnacentral:rRNA from 14 species